rnacentral:rRNA from 1 species
AUUGAACGCUGGCGGCAGGCCUAACACAUGCAAGUCGAGCGGAUGAAGGGAGCUUGCUCCUGGAUUCAGCGGCGGACGGGUGAGUAAUGCCUAGGAAUCUGCCUGGUAGUGGGGGAUAACGUCCGGAAACGGGCGCUAAUACCGCAUACGUCCUGAGGGAGAAAGUGGGGGAUCUUCGGACCUCACGCUAUCAGAUGAGCCUAGGUCGGAUUAGCUAGUUGGUGGGGUAAAGGCCUACCAAGGCGACGAUCCGUAACUGGUCUGAGAGGAUGAUCAGUCACACUGGAACUGAGACACGGUCCAGACUCCUACGGGAGGCAGCCGUGGGGAAUAUUGGACCAUGGGCGGAAGCCUGAUCCAGCCAUGCCGCGUGUGUGAAGAAGGUCUUCGGAUUUGAAAGCACUUUAAGUUGGGAGGAAGGGCAGUAAGUUAAUACCUUGCUGUUUUGACGUUACCAACAGAAUAAGCACCGGCUAACUUCGUG